rnacentral:rRNA from 1 species
UACGAAGGGGGCUAGCGUUGCUCGGAAUUACUGGGCGUAAAGGGCGCGUAGGCGGCUUGGUCAGUCAGGCGUGAAAUUCCUGGGCUCAACCUGGGGACUGCGCUUGAUACGGCCAGGCUUGAGGCCGAGAGAGGGUGGUGGAAUUCCCAGUGUAGAGGUGAAAUUCGUAGAUAUUGGGAAGAACACCGGUAGCGAAGGCGACCACCUGGAUCGGUACUGACGCUGAGGCGCGACAGCGUGGGGAGCAAACAGG